rnacentral:lncRNA from 1 species
UUUUUCCUGCAUCCAACUCCUCCAUUUUCUCACCUACAAAUGGCGAUCUCUACAACCCCAACAUCCUUUUUCCUCAUCGCCAUCCUCGUACUCCUCGUACCCAUCAACCACUCCUUUUCCUCCUCCUCCAACGGCGGCGACAUUCACUCGGAGCUAACCGAUCUCCGAUCUCAAUCUCCCACCGGCGUAAUCCACCUUUCCGACCAACUCCUCCGGCGAAUCCUCACCGUUAAAACCCCACGACCCUUCAAUUUCGUCAUAUUCUUCGACGCUAAACAACUCCAUUCAAAACCUGAACUCUCACUCCCCACUCUGAAAGAUGAAUUUAACCUUCUAUCCUCCUCUUUUUACACAAAUAACCCUGAAAACGUCAAGCUGUUUUUUUUCACUAUCGAAUUUCAAGAAUCACAAACUUCAUUCGCUUUAUUCGGGGUUAAUUCAUUACCCCAUUUACGUUUAAUCCCACCUUCAGCUAUUGAUCUUAAAAAAGAUUCGAUUCAAA